rnacentral:rRNA from 1 species
AGAGUUUGAUCAUGGCUCAGAGCGAACGUUAGCGGCGCGCUUAACACAUGCAAGUCGCACGAGAAAGGGCUUCGGCCCCGGUACAGUGGCGCACGGGUGAGUAACACGUGGGCAACCUUCCUCGAAGUGGUGGAUAACCUUCCGAAAGGAGGGCUAAUACAGCAUAAGACCACGGAGCCUCGGCUCUGGGGUUAAAGCAGGCCUCUGUACACAAGCUUGCGCUUCGGGAUGGGCUCGCGUCCCAUCAGCUAGUUGGCGAGGUAACGGCUCACCAAGGCGACGACGGGUAGCUGGUCUGAGAGGAUGGCCAGCCACACUGGAACUGAGACACGGUCCAGACUCCUACGGGAGGCAGCAGUGGGGAAUCUUGCGCAAUGGACGAAAGUCUGACGCAGCGACGCCGCGUGGGCGACGAAGGCCUUCGGGUUGUAAAGCCCUGUGGGGAGGGACGAACACGAUCUGGGUGAACAAUCCAGGUCGCUGACGGUACCUCCUUAGCAAGCAUCGGCUAACUCUGUGCCAGCAGCCGCGGUAAGACAGAGGAUGCAAACGUUGCUCGGAAUUACUGGGCGUAAAGCGCGUGUAGGCGGUUUCGCACGUCCGGUGUGAAAGCCCAGGGCUCAACCCUGGAAGUGCACUGGAUACGACGAAGCUGGAGUACUGAAGAGGAGAGCGGAAUUCCCGGUGUAGAGGUGAAAUUCGUAGACAUCGGGAGGAACAUCAGUGGCGAAGGCGGCUCUCUGGGCAGAUACUGACGCUGAGACGCGAAAGCAUGGGGAGCAAACAGGAUUAGAUACCCUGGUAGUCCAUGCUGUAAACGAUGAGAACUGGGUGUUGAGGGUAUUGACCCCCUCGGUGCCGAAGCCAACGCGUUAAGUUCUCCGCCUGGGAAGUACGGCCGCAAGGCUAAAACUCAAAGGAAUUGACGGGGG